rnacentral:ncRNA from 1 species
GAAACAGCAAUGCUCAGGACAGUAGGUUAGACGACCGGUCACAGAGACUUGGUGGUUGGUGUGAAUCAAGCGACGUCGCCGAACCGAACAUCACCUGAAAGCUGGGGGCUGAAGAUAGUAGGUUCCCCUGGCCUCGUCCACCAUUACCCGGACCACAGAUUAUCAUGUCUGGUUGAGAUGGAUUUUCCAUGAAGAAAAGGUGGUACCACGAGCUAUUCGUCCUUUAA